rnacentral:rRNA from 1 species
AUUGAACGCUGGCGGCAUGCUUUACACAUGCAAGUCGAACGGUAACAGGGUGCUUGCACCGCUGCCGAGUGGCGAACGGGUGAGUAAUGCGUCGGAACGUGCCGAGUAGUGGGGGAUAACGCAUCGAAAGGUGUGCUAAUACCGCAUACGUACUGAGGUAGAAAGUGGGGGACCUUCGGGCCUCACGCUAUUCGAGCGGCCGACGUCUGAUUAGCUAGUUGGUGAGGUAAAGGCUCACCAAGGCGACGAUCAGUAGCGGGUCUGAGAGGAUGAUCCGCCACACUGGGACUGAGACACGGCCCAGACUCCUACGAGAGGCAGCAGUGGGGAAUGUUGCGCAAUGGGGGAAACCCUGACGUAGCAACGCCGCGUGAGUGAUGAAGGCCUUCGGGUCGUAAAGCUCUUUUAGUGGGGAAGAAUCCCUUUCGGGCUAAUACCUCGGGAGGAUGACGGUACCCACAGAAAAAGUUCCGGCUAACUACGUGCCAGCAGCCGCAGUAAUAC